AGGGAUAUAGCUCAGUGGUAGAGCACUUGCCUGGAACACAUGAAGUCCUGGGUUCAAUCCCUAGUGGCACAA
rnacentral:tRNA from 1 species